GGAUGUGACGGUCGUCUGGCAGCAACAUCUGUCACCCCACUGAUCACCAGGGUUGAUUCGGCUGAUCUGGCUGGCUAGGUGGGUAUGCCCUCCUGAGCCUCACCACUCCAUGUUCAUCCCUCCUGAAGCUGCAUGCUUGGUUGAAGAAGACAACUUUCCCCAGCAGAAGGCGGCCAAUAUUUGGUCAAGGGUAUAUAAGUAGCUGCAUUCCCUUGCUAGAACCUCCAAACAAGCUCUCAAGGUCCAUUUGUAGGAAAAUGUUGGGUAGUCAACCUUCCAAGUCUCCAGACACAUCCAAAUGAGGUGCUGCAUGUGGCCGUAUGUGUUUUUUU
ensembl:misc_RNA 7SK 7SK RNA